rnacentral:rRNA from 1 species
CCUACGGGAGGCAGCAGUAGGGAAUAUUGCUCAAUGGGGGAAACCCUGAAGCAGCAACGCCGCGUGGAGGAUGAAGGUUUUCGGAUUGUAAACUCCUUUUGUUAGAGAAGAUAAUGACGGUAUCUAACGAAUAAGCACCGGCUAACUCCGUGCCAGCAGCCGCGGUAAUACGGAGGGUGCAAGCGUUACUCGGAAUCACUGGGCGUAAAGAGAGCGUAGGCGGGAUAGCAAGUCAGAUGUGAAAUCCUAUGGCUUAACCAUAGAACUGCAGUUGAAACUGUCAUUCUAGAGUAUGGGAGAGGUAGGUGGAAUGCUUGGUGUAGGGGUAAAAUCCGUAGAGAUCAAGAGGAAUACUCAUUGCGAAGGCGACCUGCUAGAACAUAACUGACGCUGAUGCGCGAAAGCGUGGGGAGCAAACAGGAUUAGAUACCCGAGUAGUC